rnacentral:pre_miRNA from 1 species
AUACUGCGGGUUGUAAAAUCUCUGCAGGCAACUGUGGAAAGGUGACCUUGUCACACAUUGGCCUGAAGGGAUUAUACAAACUGUAGCAG